UCAUAUUCUUGUCAACCGGAAAGCUCCCUGAAGACAAAGCGGAAUCCAUUUGAAUGCAGAGAAGGGCACUGAUCUACUCGUACCAGGAUGGCUGCUUGUACAGAAGAUCAACAACACACCCCAAGUCUAGAUGUAUUUUAGAAGAAAAGAGAAACUACAUCAUUAAAGAGAUAUAUGAAGAAAUAUGUGAAACACAUCAGGCACCAUGACUGUGGUAAGGAGAUUCCUGCU
rnacentral:lncRNA from 1 species